rnacentral:rRNA from 1 species
GAUGAACGCUGGCGGCGUGCCUAAUACAUGCAAGUCGAGCGAACGGACGAGAAGCUUGCUUCUCUGAUGUUAGCGGCUGACGGGUGAGUAACACGUGGAUAACCUACCUAUAAGACUGGGAUAACUUCGGGAAACCGGAGCUAAUACCGGAUAAUAUUUUGAACCGCAUGGUUCAAAAGUGAAAGACGGUCUUGCUGUCACUUAUAGAUGGAUCCGCGCUGCAUUAGCUAGUUGGUAAGGUAACGGCUUACCAAGGCAACGAUGCAUAGCCGACCUGAGAGGGUGAUCGGCCACACUGGAACUGAGACACGGUCCAGACUCCUACGGGAGGCAGCAGUAGGGAAUCUUCCGCAAUGGGCGAAAGCCUGACGGAGCAACGCCGCGUGAGUGAUGAAGGUCUUCGGAUCGUAAAACUCUGUUAUUAGGAAAGAAAAUAUGUGUAAGUAACUGUGCACAUCUUGACGGUACCUAAUCAGAAAGCCACGGCUAACUACGUG